UUAAAUUCACCCAUAGCACCACUAACUACCUUGUUAAAUUUAGCCAAAGAGGUGACUUCACUAUCUCAAAUCAAAUUAAGAGACCAUAAAAGUGAAAAGUACUAAAAGAGAUCUCAUUUCCAAACACAUCCAUGAUUGGAUAGGGAUUCAAAACGAGAUCAAGCUGUCACAUACGAUCAACAACAACAUACUCGAUAUAUUCCCACCAAGUGGGGUCUAAGGAGGGUAAGUGUAUGUAGUCCAUACCACUACCUCAGAGGUGAGAUAAAGAGGUUGUUUUCGAUAGACCCCAAUGCGAAAUAAGCUGUUGCAUAUGAUCGUCAACAGAUGAUCACAUAAUUGAAACUCCCAAAACCAGAAUUCAUGUUUGAAUCUUCCCUUCCAAAAGGGCAAGCUAGACCAGCUGACUGGACGGCCGCAAAUUGGGUAGCCCAUACCUGGGAAGGUGCGCCAAAAAAUAGUAAUGAAAGAGCACGCUAAAAGUAGGAAGAAAACAGUGAACUAGAGAGUUGGUCCAGUUAUGAAUACUGAAGUUCGGACAACCUAAUCAACCAGAAAAUCAUUAGACGUAAAGAGACGCAAGAGAUAAACCUCCUUUCCUAGAAGCUGACAAGAUAUAUGAGCAUAAUAGCAGCAGAGUUAUGCCAUCUAGAAAUUUUUAGUACCCAAUUAGAAUACCUUCAAACAACAUCAGUUUUAGGGAAGCUCCAAUAAUAUUGAACAGAUGGACUCACUGAAAGGUUCCAUUAUAGCAAGAAAUUUGCACCAAAUAAAACAGAAAAGAGCAACUGCAUUCAAAAUCAGAGACGCAUACCCAUGCAUCCAUAACAGAACAGAUCAUACCUGGGUAAGAAUCCCCAUCGGGAGAGAGGCUAAGAACCACCGUAGGAGAGAAUAACUGUAAAAUCAAUAGUAAGAUUGGUAGAUGAAGUAGCAUGUCCAAACCACUGCUCCAGUGCAUUGCUCGAAUUUCCCGCAUCACUUUCCCAAAUCACAACAAGAGAAAAUAUUAACUAAAUGUACCUGACAGAAAAAGAAACUCAAAUGCAAUCAAGCCGUGUCAAAAUUCAUUAACUUAACCAACCACGUCUGUAGCUACCAAGCAGCUCAGAAAUGAUCACAAAUCAUUUUCCAUGACAGACCCCAAAAAGACUCCAAAUGUGAUCGAGUGGGCUAAAUUUUAUACCUUCACCAAUCAUAUCUACAAUUAUUAAGUAGAAGAGAAAUAAUCACACGACUAAACCUCUCACCAGAAGUAACCAUUUAUAAACUUUUCAACACCUGAACUCAUGCUUGAGUACCCAAACGAUUCCACUAAACCAAUUGAUCGAAUUGCAAAUGGGGAACUUAUAUACCACAAUGAAGAGGAAAAAUCACAUCACAAACCCCAAGAAGGAAGACAUAAUAAACAAGACAAUGAAGGAAAACAAAAAUGUUAAGCUCAGAACCACAACCAGGUCAAUGAAAGAUGACAAGAAUUGUCCCUGACAGUACUCCCCGUUGCCAUCUUUAAAUUGACAUCCUAAGUCAGACCAACAGAUGGAACUUCUAAAUUGUUCCUUGUAAAAAUCAACAUGCAAUUUCUCUGAGAGCUUGUAACUAGAGGAGCAUUAUCCACAUCCAAUAACAUCAAUCAACUUUUCAUGUGUUCUACUACUGAAUCGUAAUUUAAAUCAAUCUACGAGUGAUAGAUAAAGGAUCACAGGAGAAAUAAGCAGUACCACAAUCUCACGGAUUAAAGCAGCACUUAACAUUAGCAAUCCCCAGAGAAAGGAUUAGUAAUGAGUACAAAGAUCGGAGAUCCCAUUCUAGAAGCUGACAGAAGGGAGCACCAAAAUACCUCUUGCAAGAGGUAUGAUUCAACACCUGAAAUUUUUUACUUUGAAUUAUGCUAACUAGUUGUUCAAGUAGAAUGUUCAAAGCUGUCUCACUGGGGUGUGCAGCUUGCCUAGCUGUAGUAGCAUAGGGCUGCAUAUUAUUUGCACCUAUCUUCUUAAAACAUUAUCCUGCUGNNNNNNNNNNNNNNNNNNNNNNNNNNNNNNNNNNNNUACUCUGCUGAAUUCUUGCUCUAACUCCAAAGCCAGAAUAACCAGUGUGUACUGAAUUUGAAGCUGUAGGAAGCUUCAUACUUGAAGGAGAAGAUAUUAGCGGUAGGAUAGUUUAUACCCUGCUGCUUCUGGCGGAAGUCCAUGAAAAAGAUUGAAGCUUGAAUUUCCAGGGGAGCAUAUUCACAUAAAUUCUAUGGAGAAGAACGGUCUUUUGACUCUUCAAACCCUAGAAAACAAACAUUACAAAAACUACAAACCUGAGAGCCGAAAAUAAUUCCAUAAAAGAAAAAAGGGUACCAGUAUACAAAGUAACGACGACUUAAAAAAAGAAAGGCAAGCCAGAUUAAGUGUGAAACUAUAAGUUUGAUUGCAUUUUUCACGGAUAACAUGAAUUAAUGCACUAUCCGGUUUCCGUGAACACCAGAAAAGCACAAAAAGAAUGAACCCAUGAAAGAUUCUGAACUUUACGGAAACUAAACCUAACUAGUAAUAAGACAAAGGUAUGGAUAUAACAGAGGGGAACUUACAAUAAUGUUUAUCGUUAUAUCAUUCGAUCUACUGAAUUAACUGUAUUAAAACUUCUAAAUCAAACCAUGGUACUGUUCCUUCUAAAUGAAAAUAAUUACUUAUCACCUUCCAAAUCUAACCAUGUUUCUUUCCUUCUCGGAAGAAGAAUCUCCAUUUUCUUAUUUCCAAGAAAAACAGGACGGGCAUGCUUUCUUAGCUUGUCUAUGAAUAGUAUAAGCUUCUUAUUUAGAAACAUAAGAAACCUCUCAACAUUCUUCCUGUUGGAUGGAAAAGAAAAAUUGAACGUCGUGCCACAUGUGGAUUAUUUAGGAAGCCAAAAACAAAACCAAAUUGAUGGAGAAGUUGAAAUUAACCUUUUCGGUACAAUAGGACAUACUAAUGACAAGAUCAGGACACUUGUUCUGGACACAAAAUGAAUGCAUCCUCAUAUCUGAACUUUUUCUCAAAUCACGUGCCAAAAUCUAUAGGAAACUGGUCAAACAAUCAAGGGAAACCGACAAGAUGAAACACCAAUCUUUUGAAAACCUAAAUUACAGUGGCACGAAAAGCAAUUCUCAUCAUCAUUCAAGUUUUCUGAGCACAUAUAUAGUAACUGAAUAUGCUAUGAAACCUCAGAUGCACCUCUUCAUGCUCAUUUCAUGCUUGAAGUACCAUUUGUACAUAUAAGUUAAUUUACACAAAUUACUCAUGUGAUCUAUUUUUCAGACCCUAAAAAAAAACCUCAAGCCAAACUUUUUAGGGUUGGCUAUAUGAUUCUUUUUAUUAAUUAUUUUCUAUGAAACUAAAGUAAAUUUCGACAGCUUCAAGACACAUCUUAAAUCUUCAUUCUUAAACCAUUCUAAUCUAAUAAGUAAAAGGUGCUAAUUUAAGAUUCAGAAAAUUUACUUCCUUUAACAGAAGUUACAUAAUUUGAGAUAGACACAUCAAAAAGGCAUUUUUUUCUUCUUUGUAAAAACAUUCACCACAAAAUCUAGAUGGUUUCUCACAAUCAAAGCUUCAAAAACCAAAAGUAUUAAUCACUCAAAUAGACUUUAAAGAUGUAUUAUUAGAAGUAUCUAUAUAAACAUUUUAAAGCCUCGAUUAAACAUAGCAGGACAUGAAUUCAGCAAGACAACUAAAUUCCUCUUAGCUCCAAAGUCAUCUAGCAACACAAAUUAAAAUUAAAAAGGAAAGGGUUAUAUAUACAUGAUCACAAACACACACACACACAAAUAUAUAACAUGUAUAUAUAAACCAAUGCAGAAAUUAACGUCUUCAAUAGAACAAAUGCAGAAAACAGUUACAGCAAUCCAACUGAAGCCAUGCAUGAAACAAAGCAGAAACAUUUGAUUAAAAAUAGUUUACCUGCAAAAGGAAGCAAUGAUGAAGUGCAUGGAG
rnacentral:lncRNA from 1 species